rfam:Jaapia argillacea MTCL 33604 unplaced genomic scaffold JAAARscaffold_9, whole genome shotgun sequence.
GUCGGCAUAGCUAAGUGGUUAUAGCAUGCGAUUGCAGUGAUAUCAUUCGCUUAACAUCGCAGGGUCCCGUGUUCAAAUCACGGUGCUGACU